UGCCAGCCGCCGCGGUAAUACGAAGGGUGCUAGCGUUGUUCGGAAUUACUGGGCGUAAAGAGCAUGUAGGCGGAUGAAUUAGUCAGAGGUGAAAGCCCCGAGCUCAACUUGGGAACUGCCUUUGAUACUGUUUAUCUAGAGUCCGAGAGAGGUUAGUGGAAUUCCCAGUGUAGAGGUGAAAUUCGUAGAUAUUGGGAAGAACACCAGUGGCGAAGGCGGCUAACUGGCUCGGUACUGACGCUGAGAUGCGAAAGCGUGGGGAGCAAACAGGAUUAGAUA
rnacentral:rRNA from 1 species